rnacentral:snRNA from 1 species
AUCGCUUCUCGGCCUUUUGGCUAAGAUCAAGUGUAGAAAUUUUUCCAACUCCAUAAACUUGAGGUUGCUGAGAAGAUUAAAGGAUUAGCUUUCUUAAGCAUGAAACUUUUUAUUCAGACUCAAUACUUCGCUCUUUUUUGUAAAAUCUUUC